GGAAGUAAAAGUCGUAACAAGGUUUCCGUAGGUGAACCUGCGGAAGGAUCAUUAUUGAAUAAAAAAAAAAGUAGCUUAGAAGACUGUUGCUGGCUCUGUGGGGCAUAUGUGCACGUCUCUUUGCUAUUGACUUUUUUUUUUCCACCUGUGCAUGAUUUGUAGGCUGCUAGGAUUUGAAUGGAAAAGAGAGGCUUUUAUUAGCCACUUGUUUUUAAAUUUCUAGAGUCUACGUUGAUUUUUUAUUGCAUUAGAGAUUUUGUAUGUCUACAGAGUGUUUUGUUAAAUUAAAUACAACUUUCAACAAUGGAUCUCUUGGCUCUUGCAUCGAUGAAGAACGCAGCGAAAUGCGAUAAGUAAUGUGAAUUGCAGAAUUCAGUGAAUCAUCGAAUGUUUGAACGCAUCUUGCGCUCCUUGGCAUUCUGAGGAGCAUACCUGUUUGAGUGUCAUUAAAUUCUCAAAACCUACAACUGUGUGUGUGUAGUGGUUUUGGACUUGUUGGGAGUUGCUGGUCCUAGUUUAAGGUAGCCAGCUCUUCUGAAAUAGAAAGCAAGUUGGUGAGAUAUCCUUAUUGGUGUGAUAAAGAAAAAGUCACCACCGAGAUUUGGGAUAUCAAAGCCAUUUUGUUUGUAUAUGGGGGGACAGAUUGACAAAGUUGACCUCAAAUCAGGUAAGGAUUACCCGCUGAACUUAAGCAUAUCAAUAAGCGGAGGA
rnacentral:rRNA from 1 species